GUAGUCCACGCCGUAAACGGUGGGCGCUAGUUGUGCGAACCUUCCACGUUUUGUGCGACGCAGCUAACGCAUUAAGCGCCCCGCCUGGGGAGUACGAUCGCAAGAUUAAAACUCAAAGGAAUUGACGGGGCCCCGCACAAGCAGCGGAGCAUGCGGCUUAAUUCGACGCAACGCGAAGAACCUUACCAAGGCUUGACAUAUACAGGAAUACGGCAGAAAUGUCGUAGCGGUUAAACGUCUGUAUACAGGUGGUGCAUGGUUGUCGUCAGCUCGUGUCGUGAGAUGUUGGGUUAAGUCCCGCAACGAGCGCAACCCUCGUUCUGUGUUGCCAGCAUUUAGUUGGGGACUCACAGGAGACUGCCGGGGUUAACUCGGAGGAAGGUGGGGAUGACGUCAAAUCAUCAUGCCCCUUAUGUCUUGGGCUGCACGCAUGCUACAAUGGCUGGUACAAACGGCUGCAAUACCGCAAGGUGGAGCGAAUCCGAGAAAGCCAGUCUCAGUUCGGAUUGGGGUCUGCAACUCGACCCCAUGAAGUCGGAGUUGCUAGUAAUCGUAGAUCAGCAACGCUACGGUGAAUACGUUCCCGGGGCUUGUACACACCGCCC
rnacentral:rRNA from 1 species